rnacentral:rRNA from 1 species
GAUGAACGCUGGCGGCGUGCUUAACACAUGCAAGUCGAACGGAAAGGCCCAAGCUUGCUUGGGUACUCGAGUGGCGAACGGGUGAGUAACACGUGGGUGAUCUGCCCUGCACUUCGGGAUAAGCCUGGGAAACUGGGUCUACUACCGGCUAGUACUAUGGUUUGGAUGCCAUUGUGGAAAUUUUUUUCGGUGGGGGUUGAGCUCGCGGCCUAUCAGCUUGUUGGUGGGGUAAUGGCCUACCAAGGCGUCGACGGGUAGCCGGCCUGAGAGGGUGUACGGCCACAUUGGGACGGAGAUACGGGCCAGACUCCUACGGGAGGCAGCAGGGGGGAAUAUUGCACAAUGGGCGCAAGCCUGAUGCAGCGACGCCGCGUGGGGGAUGACGGCCUUCGGGGGGUAAACUCCUUUCGCUAGGGACGAAGCGUUUUUGUGACGGUACCUGGAGAAGAAGCACCGGCUAACUACGUG